rnacentral:lncRNA from 1 species
ACAGUAAGAUCAUAGCUUCAGGACCUAAGUAGCUCCUGGGGAUGGGAAAGAGAUGACUGACUGAGGUGGUUGAUGGGAUUCUUACAGCAGGAGGAAGCAUUCCCAUGUGAAAGAUGAGCUCCCUAUAAAAGCAACGCUCUUAUCAUCGAGAACAGAAAGUUGAAGCCAAGAGAGAGCUCCACAAGCUGACCUUGUUAAACUAACCCUUAUCUUCUUAGUCGCUUCUUUACCCAAUUAACUACCCUAGCCGAAGCCCCUUUGCCUUAUUACAUUUUGCAACAGUGUUCGUUGUCCAAUUCAGUAUACAAGUGAGUGACUCUGGAUGCUUUUUGGGGUCUUCGUUUCCUUAUGAGGGCUUCUGUGCCAUGUAAAACUUGUAUUAAAUAAAUUUGUAUGCUUUUCUCCUGUUAAUCUGUCUAUAUCGAUUGAACUUUAGGGUCCAGUCAGAACCCAAAGAGGAUGGAGGUGGAGUUUUGGCUCCUCUACAGCUAUCUGAAUAAUCAAAAUUCAAGAUAUUCCAUGUUCUUUCUGAGUUUCUUUGAAAUUAAAAAUGCAGACAACCACUCAACUAAUACGUCAGCGAGAUACGUUUUCUGUCCUUAUUGCCUUACUGAUGAAAUUGCCUUUAUUCAUAAAAAAUAAAUGUGGGAGUCUUGUUUAUUUAUUUCUAAUGACAUUAACUUGACAUUAACCUUGGUGCUCUUGGGAACCAUAAAUGGGCCCUGUACUACUUGUUACAGAGUAUAAAUUCCCAGAACUACAAGUACAUCAUAUUCCUCAAGUUACUGAAGAAUUUCAUGAUCCAUGUGUCAGGCCUCUGAGCCCAAGC